GGAAGAUCGUCAUCUCCGGUGAGGUGGCUGGACUUCAAAUCCAGUUGGGGCCGCCAGCGUCCCGGGCAGGUUCAACUCCUGUGAUCUUCCGCCA
rnacentral:tRNA from 1 species